UACGUAGGGUCCGAGCGUUGUCCGGAGUUACUGGGCGUAAAGCGCGCGCAGGCGGCGGUGCUGGCCCGGCGUGAAAGCCCCCGGCUCAACCGGGGAGGGUCGUCGGGGACCGCACCGCUUGAGGGCGGUAGGGGCUGGUGGAAUGCCUGGUGUAGUGGUGAAAUGCGUAGAUGUCGGGAGGAACACCAGUGGCGAAGGCGGCUUCCUGGCCUGUUCUUGACGCUGAGGCGCGAAAGCUAGGGGAGCAAACGGG
rnacentral:rRNA from 1 species